GCAGGUGGUUUGUUAAGUCAGAUGUGAAAGCCCGGGGCUCAACCUCGGAAUUGCAUUUGAAACUGGCAAACUAGAGUACUGUAGAGGGGGUAGAAUUUCAGGUGUAGCGGUGAAAUGCGUAGAGAUCUGAAGGAAUACCGGUGGCGAAGGCGGCCCCCUGGACAGAUACUGACACUCAGAUGCGAAAGCGUGGGGAGCAAACAGGAUUAGAUACCCUGGUAG
rnacentral:rRNA from 1 species